GAAUUCGCCCUUAGAGUUUGAUCCUGGCUCAGGAUGAACGCUAGCUACAGGCUUAACACAUGCAAGUCGAACGAAGCACUUAUUCACGAUCUCUUCGGAGUGACGAAUCUGUGACUGAGUGGCGGACGGGUGAGUAACGCGUGGGUAACCUACCUUACACAGGGGAAUAACAGUUGGAAACGACUGCUAAUGCCGCAUAAGCGCACAGUGCCGCAUGGUACGGUGUGAAAAACUCCGGUGGUGUAAGAUGGACCCGCGUCUGAUUAGCUAGUUGGUGAGGUAACGGCCCACCAAGGCAACGAUCAGUAGCCGGCUUGAGAGAGUGAACGGCCACAUUGGAACUGAGACACGGUCCAAACUCCUACGGGAGGCAGCAGUGGGGAAUAUUGCACAAUGGGCGAAAGCCUGAUGCAGCGACGCCGCGUGAAGGAAGAAGUAUUUCGGUAUGUAAACUUCUAUCAGCAGGGAAGAUAAUGACGGUACCUGACUAAGAAGCUCCGGCUAAAUACGUGCCAGCAGCCGCGGUAAUACGUAUGGAGCAAGCGUUAUCCGGAUUUACUGGGUGUAAAGGGUGCGCAGGUGGUCUGGUAAGUCAGAAGUGAAAACCCGGGGCUCAACCCCGUGGAUUGCUUUUGAAACUAUUAGACUAGAGUCCAGGAGAGGUAAGCGGAAUUCCUAGUGUAGCGGUGAAAUGCGUAGAUAUUAGGAGGAACACCAGUGGCGAAGGCGGCUUACUGGACUGGUACUGACACUGAGGCACGAAAGCGUGGGGAGCAAACAGGAUUAGAUACCCU
rnacentral:rRNA from 1 species